AAGAAGCAGCAUCAAGCUCUGUGUUUCUCCUGCUGUUGGUGGUUGGUCUGGUUUCUGGAGUUUUACUGAUUAUUCUCCUGCUGCUGAUUCUGUGUUGCUACAGAAAGUCAAAAGCUUCAAGCCUCAGCAGGUCUCAGAGGACCAAUCAGAGCCC